rnacentral:rRNA from 1 species
GUGGGGAAUAUUGGACAAUGGGCGAAAGCCUGAUCCAGCCAUGCCGCGUGUGUGAAGAAGGUCUUCGGAUUGUAAAGCACUUUAAGUUGGGAGGAAGGGCAGUAAGUUAAUACCUUGCUGUUUUGACGUUACCGACAGAAUAAGCACCGGCUAACUUCGUGCCAGCAGCCGCGGUAAUACGAAGGGUGCAAGCGUUAAUCGGAAUUACUGGGCGUAAAGCGCGCGUAGGUGGUUUUGUAAGUUGGAGGUGAAAUCCCCGGGCUCAACCUGUGAACUGCCUCCAAAACUGCAUGACUAGAGUACGGUAGAGGGUAGUGGAAUUUCCUGUGUAGCGGUGAAAUGCGUAGAUAUAGGAAGGAACACCAGUGGCGAAGGCGACUACCUGGACUGAUACUGACACUGAGGUGCGAAAGCGUGGGGAGCAAACAGGAUUAGAAACCCUAGUGUCC